GGAAAAAACCAUUGCAGCAGCUGCAGCCAGUGGUGUCUACUGCCAGAUGUGCUAAGGUUCCUGGGCUCCUUGACACUAAAAGGCAGCAUAAAAAUAUUUGGAGACAAAAGCUGCAUCCUCAGUGAUGAUUCUCUUUAUUUAACAUGGCAGCAGGCACCGUGUGUGGGAAAAUCAACAUGCUGGAUGUUGAAUUGGACUUUCCUCCUUUCUAGGAUGAAAGGAUGUUAUCUAUCCCGUGCCAAGAGGGAACUGAGAGCAAUGAACAUAUGGCUGUUACUAUCAGCACUGGUGUAUUUGCAGCGAUGCCUAUCAACAUCCACCAGAGAGCAGGGCAGCUCUAAAACCCACAUCUUUCAUGCUGUGGAAAUUGAUGGAGACAGCAACACAGCCAGCUUCUUGGCCAAACAACAUGGAAUGCAGUUCAUUUCAAAGGUACUGGUCUCUUAGCCUGUAAGGCUUGUGCAUGAUGUAUAUGAGAGUGAUUUCCAGCAGAGAGAAGCUUAUCACAGAUCCACCUAAAAGGAAGAGACGAUGGCACCAACAACGUGUUCCUCUGUCUGAAAGACAUAAUUGCUUGAUGGAAGAAUAGUCUGUUUGACUCCUGGGUGUGAUGGAAGUGAUGCUGGUAAGGAAGGAAAAUAUUUCCAGGAACUGAAGAAUGAUUAUAGCAUCUCUAAGGAGGACAUUUGCCUGUGACUGUUAAAGUGCUGAAUUGACUUUCCUGAUCCUUGAUAAAUAAAUGGAAAGAAUGCUUUCUGUUACUGGAGGCUGUGCUGGAGGUUGCACCUUUUCCUGUCAGAUAUGGACUUUGCUACAGUGAUUCAAGGCUUGUUUAUCACUGGAUUACUUCAGACUGUUCUGCUUGGGUUUGUCAGCUGAGAAGCAUAGAGACAUCAGAUGUUAAAGCUUGAUGAAAUUUCUAAGCAACAUAAAGAAGAGUGCAACCUGUUGUUUAGAUGUGUCAACAUACGACAUUGAAAUAUCUUCAAGGACAUGGUCAUUGUCUCCAAAUUGCCUAGUGGGUAAGCACCCUGGGGACUGAGCUAUGGGGAUAUCCUGUAUGAUAAAGAUCAGUCCUUUUAAGCAAGGACUGACUCUUUUCAGAGGAGGUUCUUAGGCCUGAACAUAGGGAGGGGUUUUGCCAGCUAGUGCACAUGAUGGGAAUGCACUAUUUUUGCAUAAUAUUUCCUCCAGUAGAGUGGCAUUACUUCCUUCCAUUACAUUCCUCUGCAACCUGCAUACUCUAAAAAAUAAAAUGUAUUUUACCAGUAUGUGUGCUGAGUUUUCAGUAUGAUACCUAAUGCAUGUCGUAUUAUGAUGUUUUCACGGUAAAUUCUUACUUAUGUAUUUUCAUGCUACUUCAAUAAAACCAUCAAAACUGAAAGUCAAAGCAAAACAAAAACAAAGAGGUAAAAAUAUAUGGAAUAGGAUAAACCAAUUAUCAUCUUUAUUAUGAGUGUUGUUUGCUAAAAACAUCAGCUUUGAUUUAGCUUUAUGAGGUAACUUCAGUGGAAAUUUAUUUUGCAAAACUACAAAAAAAAAAAAAUCUGAAACUAUCACUUCUGCUUUUACAAUAAUUUUUUAAUACUCCACAGGCUGCAUAAGACUACAAAGUAGUGGAUUAGCAUGAGGGGAAGAUGGUUACUACUUGUGAGAAGGCCUUUCUUUUUGUUCCACAAUAUAUUUAUGGUGCUAUAUAGCUAAAUAAGAGGUGUGUCCUAUUUUAAGUCGCAACAUGCACUUAUGGAUCUAUGCCCUUAUGGAUCCUUUUGAUGGAAAAAUGUUUCUUUGUAAACGGCAUGGCUACUGUGAUGAAUUGUUAGGUUUUCUAUAAAUACAUACGUAAUGAAAAGAGAAUGUUAAAAUUCAUAUAAAUGUAUUUGCAUUGUUUUUAAUAUGUAAUUUUAACUUUUUUACCAUGCUGGAAAGAAUGAGAGUUGUUAGAUUCACGUUAUGAUUAAAGGUUAGCAUUAUUUCUGUUUUCUAUGGUAAAUAAAAUCAAAUAAAACAAGUUCAAGAACUCAGGAGUUGUCCACAAAACUUUUGACCAUCAGGAUUUCUCUCUUUGUUCCUCCUCCUGUCAGUAUAAUGCAGCCUGAUGAUUCUGGUCAUUACAGCCAGUGUACCUCUGGUGAGGGUGACCAUGACGACACCAAAGACUUUUGUGCUUCUGUUAUUGCCUCUAGGCCUGAAAUGAGGUGAGGCUGCAGGCAAGUGGGGUAAAGUCAUUAGUAUCUCAUAAAAACUCGUUGUUAAUGUACCAUAUGAUGAAACAGAAGGAACUCUCUCUGCUGCUUAUACUGACAACAAAUAAAGAGCAAGGGAAAAGAUUUAGAUGUAAAAAUAUUCCCCCUUGCAGGAACAGCAUGAAUCAGCUGCAGGUUGUUUCACACGUUCUUGUAUAGGGGUAGGCAGAGCAAGUAGGAAUUUUGCAGAGGACAUUUCUAUAUUGAUUUUAUAAA